rnacentral:rRNA from 1 species
AUUGAACGCUGGCGGCAUGCCUUACACAUGGCAAGGUCGAACGGCAGCACGGGAGCAAUCCUGGUGGCGAGUGGGCGAACGGGUGAAGUAAUAUAUCGGAACGUGCCCAGUCGUGGGGGAUAACGUAGCGAAAGCUACGCUAAUACCGCAUACGAUCUAUGGAUGAAAGCGGGGGAUCGCAAGACCUCGCGCGAUUGGAGCGGCCGAUAUCAGAUUAGGUAGUUGGUGAGGUAAAGGCUCACCAAGCCGACGAUCUGUAGCUGGUCUGAGAGGACGACCAGCCACACUGGGACUGAGACACGGCCCAGACUCCUACGGGAGGCAGCAGUGGGGAAUUUUGGACAAUGGGCGCAAGCCUGAUCCAGCAAUGCCGCGUGCAGGAUGAAGGCCUUCGGGUUGUAAACUGCUUUUGUACGGAACGAAACGGUGAGCUCUAAUACAGUUUGCUAAUGACGGUACCGUAAGAAUAAGCACCGGCUAACUACGUG